rnacentral:SRP_RNA from 1 species
GCCAGGUGUGGUGGUGCAUGCCUGUAAUCCCAGCUACUUGGGAGGCUGAGGCAGGAUAAUUGCCUGAACCCAGGAGGCAGAGGUUGCAGUGAGCCAAGAUCACGCCACUGCACUUCAGCCUGGGUAACAGAGCAAGACUCUGUCUCAA